CACGAACUGUAGAUAGAAAGUAGUUUAAAAACCUUGGGACUAACAUCCCGAACUAGUUACAAGAUAGUUUGAUAUACUUGAAAAUAUAGAUUGAAAACCAUGGGACUACUAUCCCGAACUAGAUAUAAGAUUGUUUGAUAAAACCAUGGGAUCACUAUCCCGAACUAGAUAUAAGAUAGUUGGAUAAAGUCAUGGGAUUAUCAUCCCGUACUAGAUAUAGUUUCAAAACCAUGGGAUUACUAUCCCGUACAAGAUAUAGAUUUGAAAUCAUGGGACUAUCAUCCCGUACUAAAUAUAAGAUAUAUACAUACUGAAUACCAUGGGAUUAACAUCCCGUAUCAGAUACAAGUUCGAUAGACUGAAAACCAUGGGACUACCAUCCCGGACUAGAUACAUGAUAGUUUGAUAAAACCAUGGGAUCACUAUCCCGAACUAGAUAUAGAUUCUAAAACCAAAGAUGUGAAUAAGCUUAUAUUAAUACAUAUUAUGAGUCGGGUAACCAUGCUGAUACGACAACGAGACCUCCUUGACGUUAGUCAGACGUCGGACGAUAUCCAAAAUUUGUCACCCCAGGCGUGCCCGCCUAACUGUAGCUAGCAGUUAAGGUGUGGGAUUGUCAGUCCCGAAUAGAUCUAUUCACAAAUUCCUCGCUCUCCCUCCAGGAGACUCUGGUUACACUUCCGGGGAGGAUUUACUGAUCAUCCAUAAAGGGUAGUGACUAACUCACAAACUAGUACUAAACUAUUCACAGGAUUCUCAUACGAUAUCAAACAUACAAAGAUUAUGAAACAUGAUACAGUGAAAAUAGAUACAUACAAUGAAACUAUCUGGCAAUACAUUCAAAUGAUACGGAGAUAAACUGAAUCAGACAUAGUUUAUCUAAUAACUUUAUAUAGAUAUUAGUACAUGAUAUAAAAAGAACUACAGAACCCCAAAUUAUUCCCAUAAUAAUUUGAUUAGUUUAAUUAUUUUCUUAACUAAAAUCCAUUUAGUUGUAAUUGAUAGAUCAUUCCUUAUGCUCAACAUAAUACAUAAGAAGUAAAAGUGUUUAUAAGUUUGCCAGAUAUUAUUUGAAACAUCAAUGUUAUAAUUCGAAAACAAUUAUAGUUUGCUUGUAUUCCCCCUCCCCCCCUGAAAACAUUAAAAAACACAGAAAAAGGCGUAGGGGUAUGAACUCACCGAACGAGAAACGUGACGAUUUCGGAUGUUAAACGUUGGUCCGAGGCUUGCAAACCCACAAGGUUCCUAAGUAUAAUGUAAAGAUACACAUUUGUAUCUAAUUAAGACUUAGAUUGAUUAUUUGUUAGGGACAAACACUUUUGGUCGUGAAAACACCUCAUAUCAAGUGUUUGGAAGGACCCGGGUGACGUUUAAGGACGUGUAAUGGCACUAGGGACUUGGAACAUGAGUUUACUCCACAUGAAUAAACUCAUACAAGAGUUUUCAGCCAUAACACCCAUUCCCCAUGAGUUUACGGCCGUAAACUCAUGGUGGGUGGUUUAUGGUUGCUAAAUGGCUUCAUAUGACUAGGGAAAAUUUGUUAGGAUUUGAUUUAAGGCUUGGAAUUGAUUUCAAACACCAAAUGACAAUACUUAAGGGAGUUUACGGCCUAGCAUAGGACUCAUGGCCGUAAACUCCUAUAAACCCAUGAAAAAUUGUGUUUUUUAUUCCCAAACAAAUCACAUGUGAUUGCUAAAAUUAUUUCAAGGCCUUACAUGAAUUUUUAUGGGACAUUUGGGGUGUUUUUGGAGUUUACGGCCUAUGAGACCCCCCUCAUGGUCGUAAACUCUCCUAGAGAGGGUUUCUUUAUGUUUUAAGGCCAAAAACUUGUUUGUAAACACUUCUAAAAAUUAUUCUAAGGCUUUAAGGGUGUUAAAGUGUCUUUCUAACACCUUAAAUUAAGUUUACACCCAAGGUUGAGGAGUUUACGGCCCAAGCACAUGCCUUGGCCGUAAACUCAUAUAAAUCCCCCAAAAUUUAUGUUUAAAGUGUUCCAAGGCUAAAGAAAUUUUUCUAGAAGUCAUAUCCAUGUCUUGUUGAGGUUUAGGAAGGGUUUAAGAGCUUAAAAACCCUUUAAUUAUGAGUUUACGGCCUAAACACUAUCCUUGGUAGUAAAGUCACAUACAAGUCCCCAAAUUAUAGAUUAAGGCAUUCUAGGUCCAUUCCGUAAAGUCUUUAAGCCAUAUCUAUGUCCCAAAAUUGUUUAGGAGGGGUUUAAAGGCAUAAAAACCCACUUAUUAUGAGUUUACGGCCUAAGCUCCUUCUAGGGCCGUAAACUCAUAUACAAGGUCUUAAAUCAUGAUUAAAUCUCGAAUUUGAAGGGCAAAGAUGCUAUAAAAUGAGUUUAGGAAGGUACCUUAAAGAUUUGAGGCCUUAAAAUUGAGUUUUGGACCCUUAAACUUUGCAUUUAGGAGAGAGGGUAGAGAGACAGUAGAGGGAGGAAGAAAAAGCUUCAAAUGAAUGUUUAAACACGUUUAUAUAGUUCCCAAAACUUGGACACGGUGGAAUUCUACCCGAUACCGACCUUAAACGAGGCUUUAUGUCGCACCCGAUUAAGUUUUCGUCACCCGGCGGGGACGCUUCUAAGCUUUUUGAAAUAAAUGUUUUGGGCUAAUUUAUUGAGUUCCUAAGGGGUUUGGACACUCAUUAGCAUUAAUUAAACAUAUAACUUAAUUAACUUAACCCAAAAACGACAUCAGAACGUUUCGAUAUACGGCAAGUUAUACGGGUAGAACGGGGUUUUGGCGAUAAACAACUUCGGGUUGUUACAUUAUCCCCCCGUUAGAGGGAAUUUCGUCCCGAAAUUCAAAGAAUAAGAUAUAGAUCAUGAAUUUGGAAUGAGACACGAAUGGAUUUGUUGCAUCGGAUCUUCACUUUCUCAAGUGGAAUCAGGUCUCUACUGGGCGUUCUAGCAAAUUCUCACUAUCAAGACGUGUCUUUGUUUCGUACUUUGACUCUCUCUUAAUUGACGAUAUCAAUCUGUUCUCUCAUGGAAAUUUCCAACCCUGAACGACUUCAGUUUCCUCAAAGGAAUCACUAGGGUUUCGAUUGGGUAGAUGCUUCUAAGGAUUCGAGACAUGAUGUACUGGAUAGAUGUUACCAAGCUCAAAGGCAUUCGAAAUCUGAAGGUUGCAGAAUCGAUUUCUACGAAGAUCUCGAAGGGUCUGAUGUGGAACUAAACUAGACGUUUGAAAGAAACUCCCAGGAAUCCUUCGGGAUAGAAAUUUAGAGGAAAGAGCUGCUAACUUCCCGUUUCUCAAUGAUCACAGAAACGAGGGAUGUUUGGUAAUUCAUAUCGGGAAAAACUUUUGGGUUCUAAGGCACGGAAUGAUACGAAGGUUUGAUGCCGAAGAUCACGAGAACCGGGUCGAGGAAAAGAUCUAGACGAGCGACCCUUUCGAAACCAAGGAUAAAAAUGAGACUCGGUCAUUUCAUGUUAAACAUAGCAUCAAAGUAUUUUUGUGAAAAAUUUCCCCUUUAAAACCGAAUGGAACAGAAUAAUCCUCCGGACUGAGGAUUCAAUCUAUAGGUAAGAAGUUAGUGAUUCUCUAUCUCACUGGUUAGUCGUCUCGAUGAUACACAUUUCGAUUACAUACGAAGGAUUUAGCUUAGAAAAUGUUCGAAUUGAUAGAUAACAGGUUUCCUUUUUUGUACUAGAAUCGAAAAGAGUUGCAGGUAUAAGAAUUAUCAAAGAGAAGUAUACCUGCGGCGACAGAGGGAUCAGUGGUUGUAGCUGCUUUGGGGCAAUNCGACUUCACCGCAACCGUAGCAGGCCUGACUGAUACCCGCUCCGGAAGCUUGAUUGGUUGAUUGGGUUGGGGUUCUGCAGUUUCACGCAAGGUGACCCUCUUGGCCACAGUUUUUUCAAAACUUCUCAUGACAUGGGCCAGGGAUACGAUGGUGGUAACUGCACCUGUUGCACCAUGGAAGAAUACCAGCAUAUCCAGUGAUAGGUGCUUGGGCUGAGGAACCGACGACAGAAACAGUAGCAUGGGUAGUAGCAGCGUGGACUGCCACUGUUUGCUGCUUCUUCGAGGAUUCCAUUGAAGAUUGUCUCUUCUUCUUCUUCUUCUUCCAAAACUUUCUUUUCUCACCGCUUAUCUCUGUUGGCUCAGGAGUGGUGGCUACUUCCUCUAGGUCAUCACUAUGGUAAAUCAGGGUUUGCGCUAGGCAUUUGGCGCUGUCGUAGGUGUCUGGCUUUGCAGCCAAGACAUUACCAUUGGUUGGCUGGGUCAAGCCCUAGAUGAACCUCUCAAUCUUUUUACUCUCCGGGGUAACCAUUCCUGGGCAGAGUAACGCCGGAUCAUCGAAUCUUGAAGUAUAAGCAGCUAUGUCGGAACCCUUCAUCUUAAGGUUCCAGAGUUCAUGUUCUAGCUUCUGCAGUUCGCCCCGAGGGCAAUAUUCUGCGAGUAGAAGCUCCUUCGUAGCUUCCCAUCCCAUAGCAUUCGCUACAGGUAAAGUUAAAGAUUUGACUCGGCCAUUCCACCAAGUCAGGGCUUUGUCUAGGAAGGUGCAGGCAGCAAACUUUACUCUAUCAGACUCCAAACAGGCGCAUAUUUCAAAGAUUGAUUCGAUUUUCUCGAACCAUUGGGUUAAAGCAAUGACACCCCCUGUGCCAUUGAAGAAUGUCGGUUUUGCGUUCAUGAAGUCUUUUUAGGAACCCCCUUUUUGGUGUCCCUGGCUAUCUUCUGGGUUUUGGGUUCCACCCCCUGAACCACUAGGGUUCAAUUGAGGUAGGAGGGCUGAUAUGGUGGCAGAAAUGGUUGCCUGAAGUGUUUCCAAAUCGAUUUGAAUAGGAGUUGGUGGCGGAGGAGGAUUGCUGUUGUUCUUUGAGCUGGGUCUCUUUCUUGGAGGCAUCUUGAUCUAAAAAGAUCAGGAAAGAGAGGAUCAUAAGUCCACUAAAUUGAAUCAAGAGAUAAGAAACAGAGGAUAUCUCUUCAAGACAGAUAUAGCAUCAUACAAAGCGAUAAACCAGGAAAGAGUUAUCAAGACAGAACAUUUUAUCGCUAGAGGAAUGAUCAAGGAACAACGCGUAUACGAGGAUUUUCUACAAAGAAUCGGCUCGAGAAAUACUCCCAUAUUAUUUCAUGGUUCGCUGCAGCGACGAUUCGUUGUUUGGAUAUUGGGUAAGUUUUAGGCAUGCUGCGUACCACAGUCACUCCCAAGCACAUGUUGGCCGUGUCUCGAAUGAAUAUAGUUGGCCAGGCUAUAUUGAUCCUAGACAUGACUACAUAACUGCCCAGGUUUAACCACAAUGUACAACACCCAUUACUUAUGUUUUGUUCUACUUGUAGUUACGGAUUUCGACGGUUCGGUAUACUUGCAUACUUUUGAAAAUACUUAUAGUUUUGAAGAUACUUUUAAUUCAGAGCACUGGGGCUCUUUAGUGUUUAUAGUUUUAUACCAUGUAAGGUUUGGUAUAAUCGGUUCACUAUAAACAAGGGCUCUGAUACCAAUCUGUCGCACCCCGAAAAUCAAAGACGGAAACAUUUCCGGGGUUGACUCCAAGUUGAGUAUCAAUUCCAAUGUACAUAGUAAUCACAGUAAACAACCAUUACAUUACAUAUAUUUGAAAGUUUACAUUUGGUUCAAAAGUAAAUUGUACAAGUUUUAUACAUAUAUCAUAUGAACAAAACGAGACGAGUCUUCCACGCACUCCGUCUUCACCAUAAGAGAUCACCGGGUACCUGUCUAAUGUGGACCUGAGAAUACAAGCAGUUUGAAAAUCAGCAUAAAGCUAGUGAGUUCAUAAGCGGUUUUGUUUUAUGAAAAUGUAUCGGUUUCCUUUAGUUUUCCGAAAAGGUUUGUUAUCCAAGAAAAUCCCAUAUUUUCUUAUGUUGAACAGUUUAGUUAUCUUUCAUUACAGUUCAGUUACGCGUUAUAUGUUAACCCCAGGAAAAUCCCAUAUUUUCCUAAAUACAAGAUUGAUUAUAUAACACAGAGUAUAGUUUAAUACACAAAACUAUAUAUUGAGAAUCAUGGGAUUACUAUCCCGAAUUAGUUAUGAAAUACCAUAAUAUGCACGAACUGUAGAUAGAAAGUAGUUUGAAAACCUUGGGACUAACAUCCCGAACUAGUUACAAGAUAGUUUGAUAUACUAGUAAAUCCCAUAUGAAAAUGUAUCGGUUUCCUUUAGUUUUCCGAAAAGGUUUGUUAUCCAAGAAAAUCCCAUAUUUUCUUAUGUAAAGUUAGUUUGGUUAUCUUUCGUUACAGUAAGUUAACCCCAGGAAAAUCUCAUAUUUUCCUAAAUGCAAGAUUGAUUGAAUAACACAGAGUACAGUUUAAUACACAAACUAUAUAUAUUGAAAAUCAUAGGAUUACUAUCCCGAAUUAGAUAAGAAUACCAUAGUAUACAUGAACUGUAGAUAGGAAGAAGUUUGAAAACCUUGGGACUAACAUCCCGAACUAGUUACAAGAUAGUUUGAUAUACUAGGAAAUAUAGAUUGAAAACCAUGGGACUACUAUCCCGAACUAGAUAUAAGAUUGUUUGAUAAAACCAUGGGAUCACUAUCCCGAACUAGAUAUAAGAUAGUUGGAUAAAGUCAUGGGAUUAUCAUCCCGUACUAGAUAUAGUUUCAAAACCAUGGGAUUACUAUCCCGUACAAGAUAUAGAUUUGAAAUCAUGGGACUAUCAUC
rnacentral:lncRNA from 1 species